AUGUCAGAUGAUUGAUUGAUACUAAUACUAUAUAUUAAUACGAUGAUUGAAUAUAUGUUGUGUUUAAGUUAGACGACUCCUUUUGCUAUUAGACUGUUAGUUUUGAUAGAUCUAUGUUUCGUCGAAUAAAAUUUUGGUGUGGUCGGUUUAAUGUCGGGUCGGGUUUUCGAAAGGUUGGGAACGUUAAGGAGGAAUAAUGAAAUCUGGUUAAAGGAGGGGGAAUAAAAUGAAUAUAUGCUGGCUGUAAUUAUAAAUAACCCGAUGGAUUCUCAAAUUUAUUUCUUUUUACGAAGAAAGAAAAACCAAAUUAAACCCUAAUUAUAAUGAUUCCGGGAAUAAAUGGUGGGUCCGAACUGUUGUUUGACAUUCAUGGUCCCUGUGGACGCAAGGAGUCGUUGGUUUGUGGGUUGAUUAGAAAAGGGGUUAAUUUAAACGAUUUGAAACCACAUGUACUUUUGUUACUGCUUUGAUUACAGGAGUGUUGUAGAGAUGAAUCUAGUGUGUUAGCUUGGACUUUCUAAACAUCAUAUGAUUCCAGGCAGCAUUGUCGUCGCUUAUAAAAACUUACCUUGGUCGUUGUCUUUUGCAUAGGCUUAGAUAAGUCAGUACCCUCUUUGAUUAUGGUAGAGAGUGAAACAGCUUUUCAGAUGUCCAGAAAAAUCCACCCGUUCCCUAUUCUGCUUCCGAGCAUGGAUUGGUGACAUGGCUAAUGCUACAUUGCUACUAUUACCAAUGCCAUGGAGGUAGAACAUGGGGAUGAGUCAGGUGCUGCUGGAAAAUAGGACGUUCGAGGCUCCAUCUUUAGACUCAUCUCAGUUGGCCGCUUACCAUUCUUCUGUGAAUGGCAAUGAUGGCAGCUACGGAAAACUUACUCCAUAUGCUGGUGUUAGUUAGAAUGGAAUUGGUUCAUAUGAUAAACUUAAUUCUGCAUUGGUAAAACCAACUAAAAGACGGUUCUGCCGUUUCCGUGAGUCUGGAGCAUAGCAAAUACCAACAGUCAGAUUUUAAUGUCUCGACUAUGAUAAUAGAUGAGACCGAAAAAACACCUAUGAACAUCUUGUAGAUCUGAAAUGCUUACGAUACCUUUUUAGCCGAAUUUUCUGUGUUACGGCUAUUGGAAGAAAUAUGCUGAUCCUGAAGCAUGACUUAACAAAGUUGUUGAGGUCUAUGAACAUGCUGCGUAUGGGGUGACCUGUUCUGUACAUAUGUGGUUGCAUUACUGUGUUUUUGCCAUAAACACCUAGGGGAUCCCAACACAUUGAAAAGGUAAUAAAUGCUUAAUUUUUGGUCAACUAUCAUUGUUGUGGUCAUCUGAAGGAGUGACAAUGCAUCUGUCAUUAUUUGUGUCUUUGUGAUAGCAUGUCGUCGUGAUACAACAUUUUCUCUACACCAAUUGCUUAUUGUACUGGGCAGAAAUAAAAUACUUGGAGAGCCAGGGCACUGUUUGGCAGUAUUUUCUUUGGUUGUUUUUUGCAUUUACAUUUGAUUUUUUUUAAGCCGAACAAAAAAUUGAUGUAUUGGGUCUAUUGGCAAACCUUUAAUUGUGUUGACCUUUUGACUUUAAAGAGUUCCAGCUAUUGAAUACUAUCCUCCACUUUAAGUGUUCUUCUUCU